CACUCAACCCACUUCUUAACAGUUUUCACAUGCAAAACAGCACAGAAAACAGUGUCUGGUAUAGAAAGAAGAGGGAAGGAGCCAAUGUUGUGAUUUCUCUUUAUGAGAAUUGUCGAGAGGAAAAAAAAAUACUUGACUUCCUCCUAAGUCUUCUCGGAACCAGCAUGAAAUAUUAUCUACUUUCACUUGAGGGAAAGGAAAUGAAGUACAUUCUGCCCACUGAUAGCCACACAGUGACAAGACGGCGUUUGAAAAAACAAGGUGUAAAUGUUCAUGGAAGUCUUGAGAAAUUCAUCACAGAAUGGAGGGAAGAAGCUGAAUCUUGGAAGCUUUUCUCCCCACCCCCCACACCUUUGUGCGAAUUCUGUCCACUAUUUCAUUGUCCUAACAGGACAGAAUUCAUAACAUUUGUGACAUCCCUGUAUGAACUUAUUCAACACAGAUGAAUUCCACAAGUAGCUAGGAAGUGGCAGCUCCAUUGAUAAGCUUCCCCAGGCUGCAGUAAUUGAGCCAUAACUUUCCCAUUAACUUUGUUUGGAGCAGUGAUUAAUGAUAAAGGGUAGCGGCAAAUCCAAGUUAAUAUAGAUAGGGGACUGUUAUUUUCCUCAUCCUCCAAAAUUUGGCUAUCAUUGGGUAAACAUUUCCUUUUGUGGAAGCUUUCCUUCCCUUGCGCUGGUAUGCAGGCAAUGCUGUGUACCUCCACUGGAGGAUUUAGAGCCUAUCCGGGUCUGACCUGGGGCUCUCGCUCAGCAAGCAAAUGCUUCCUGGGCACUGUUAUCACCUCGAUUUCCCCAGCACUCACUUCCAACCACACAGCUUCUAAGCUUCUCUAGAACAAAACCGCGAAGAGCAUUAUAGGAAUUUACAUAAGGAUGUCUGGGAAAUGGCCCUCCGUGGCCCAAGAAGACCUUGGAGAAAAUACCUCCCAGGGACUACACUCGGGCUUCUGACUCCGGGAAGUCUGAAAACAGAGUUUUGUUCACGCAAAGAGAGAAAGCAGACACUAACCAAUGCAGAAUAAUAUUCAUUUCUAGCCAAAGUCUUAUACUUCAGUGAGAAAUAGGACUGUCAUAAAACAGGUUAUACUCACGCUGGCAUCAUCAGUGAAUUUUUUCCCCCUGUAGUCAGACCUACUUGGAGAGACAAAUCACAAUCAGAAUUUGCUGAGACUCAAAACAUGAAGAGUUACAUGAACCGAGUGUUAAAAUAUAUCCUCCUCAAGAGGGAGGGUCUGAGCUUAGCAAGGAUUUCUGCCUUCAAUGACACAGUUAUUUGGAAAACUCCCUGGAAGACUUGCUGAGGCAGAAAACUUGAAUUAUACUUAACAGAGCAAUUGUUUUUCUGGUUAGUAUAACACAUAGAACGUUGCCAAGACACAGUUUCAAAUAAAGGAUGAUCUCCGGGCAAAUGACAUGUUUCAAAAUGUUCAUGGUGGUCAGACAGAAAAAACAGAUUUCCAGAUAUAUCGAAUUCUACAAGGCUCUGACAGACAGAAGUGAGAUCUGCUAUUUUUUUCCCCUAACAGCAACAGAGCACCAAGAGAAAUGCUCUCAUUUCUAAUCUCAUGACUCCUCAUAGUGGAGAGAUAAUACCUUCCAACUGGAUUCCUUUGUCAGCCAGUGAAUGUUCCAGAAAGGCUACCUGUAAGCAUCAAAUAAAUGCACUAACAACAAUCACAGGCCUCAUGCCUUAUGGCAUCUCUCCUCACACCCAGCUCUACCUUGAAGGGAUUUGAUAGAUAUUCUCGAACAGGCGUUUCCAUUUGUCCAAAGAGUGCAAGCGAAACAGCAGAAGAUGUUUAGCCUGAAGGACACUUUCCCCAGAAGGUUAACUACCUGAAAAAAAAAAAAAAAAAAAAAAAGAGAGAGAGAGAGACUUAGAUAUCUACUUCAAGAUAAACAUUUGCAAUGCUUUUUCAGUCGAUAGCCUGCAUAAUUGCUUCACACGUCAAAAACAAGAAGCAACAAAAACUGACUCUCCUAGGAUGUUGUGUCGAACAAGCCAUUGCAUGCAGCCGAAUCCCAAGGUGACAUCAGGUACAAGAAGUGGCAGAAGUUGAACUGCGUUCACAGGUCCAUGAUCGCCACACGCAUAUUCACAUGUAUGGAAAAUACUCCUUCGUCUUUGCCAAAAAGCUUUUCUAAGAUGUUUUAUAGCACAUGGUUGCUUGGAGACACUGAGAUUUCGCAAUAAAUAGUUCUUCCUUGUCCAAAAUGUACAUAGACUUCACUAAACACUGAUGCUUGGAACCCGCAUCUCUAAGGAUAACGCUGCAAGGUCUGCCUCAAAUACAUUUUUAGCAAAAUCAAAAUCCUUAAUUAUUUUAAAAACAGGUAUAUGUUAAGAAUGUGCUUGCUAUUAUACCUCGCAAGCACCAAAAGAACAGCGAGAUUUUUCUGCCAUUGGUAUUCUGGGUGUUUGGAGGUCCGGGAAAAUUUGCUAUCAUAGACGGCAAUAAAUCACUCCCUAAGCACUUAGGUCUCAUUCUCUCUGUCAUUUACAGGGCUCAGCGAACAAGGAAUAUAGGACAAAAUUGCAUGUUCUUUCUAGUAAUCUGUCGCCCCUGAUAAUAACUUGGAAUUAUUUAGCCACUGUGUCACUGCACGAAACAAGCCCAGGAAGGCCUGCUUGGAUCCGACACGUCUGCUGUCUUAACAACCACAAACAAGCAUCAGGUAAACAUGGCAUGUCUCAUGAGAAAUCUAUGCGGGUCAGUCUGGGACCAGGACAGGUACUGGCCAUGCUUAUCACGGCUCAGACCAAAGAAAACAACCAGCACUGCUACCAAUGCCUGUUUCAGAAAACUUAGUGAGGUGCACUCGGAGGCACAGAAGUGAUGUAAUGCUGCACACAAACGAGGCUGGAUGCACUGUCCCUCUUUCCAGUUGUAUUGAGCUCACACCAAAUGCUAGAUGAAAAGCAGAUAAACUGUUUGCAACUCAUCCAAGUGGAGAUCAUCUGUCUUGGCACCCAGUGCAAUUUGCAAUCAGGGUGUCUCUCUGGCGUCUCGUCUCAUCUGCAUGUCUUGUCAGUUUUGCCCAUCCUUCCUUGGGAAUCCUUACUGGGGAUUGGGAAUAAAGAUCUUAUCAACUUAAAGCAUGGAUUCCCUCCUUGCCUUUCGUUUUCUCUCUGUUUUGCUUCUAGUCAAAUAUAAAUUCCAAAAACACCCAAAUCCUGAGUUUUCUCUGUUUCUCUCUAAAUCCCAUGGCUGCAAAUUCAAAACAAUGUACUAAAUAGUUACAUAAUUUGAAUCUGGGGCUCAUUCAGAAACCAAAUAGCUUAUCUCCAAAAGAGAAGCCACAUCUAUUUGCACGCAAACUUACUUGCUCAGCCAGGACUUCUGUCCAUGAAGAUAAUCCCUGGGUAACAAAAACACUUACAGGGACUGGCGUUGUGGUGCAACGGGUUAAGCAGCCAUCUGUGACCUGGCCCAGCCCUAGCCAGCUGCUGCAGCCAUUAUGGGAACGGACCAAGGAGUGGAAGAUCAUUCUUUCUGUGUCUGGACACCACCUCUCCCCCGCCCCAGGACACUGUAACUCUGCUUUCAAAUAAUGAAGUAAAUAUUUAAACACACACACACACACACACACUUUUUUUAAGUUAAAUUUUUCUUUUCUCACUUGAUGUUCUGAAAUCUCCAGGUUUUCUCUUUGACAAGCAGAAAAUAGCUUUCUAUUUCAUGUUCUUCUAGGUAUGGUUCUACUUAACUGAUUUUAAUUUGAGUCUCUCUUUUUCAGUAUUUGUAAGUUAAACACACUAUAUUUUCAUUUUAGAUAUUGGCUUUAAUUUUUAUUUUCCUAUCUACAUCAUAAACCUCAGAAAGAAGAAAGUCAUCCUGAAGACCAAACCAUGGCCAGGCUUGAGAGUCCAUGGAAGUUGCUUCUUUUAGGUUCACAAAAUAGAGUCCCUGGGGCUUAAAUCUAUUUUCCAACUGAAUUUGAAUUUUCAACGGUUCUAGAAGUGCAGCUGUGUCAUGCCAUUAUUACAUGCAACGGGCAUGGCCGCAUUAGACUCUCGGGGGCUAUGUGCAGUCUAGUGAGAGCACUCUUCCGAAUCAGGUGCACGAAGGUAAGGAUGUCUGCUCUUCUGUCCGUUCUCUGUGGGACCUUGUGGAAAUCACUGACUGUCUUGGAGCCUCAGCCUUCUCUAUGAAAUGGAGAAAACUGCAUUCUGCACGUCUCUAAGAGAAUCCACUGAAAACACCAUCUCCACACAAUGACAAUACAUGUCACUCAGUCAAAGAAACUCAUCCUUUGAGGGGUGCUUGAGUAGGGCAAGUUGAAAUGAAACAGGAUUCUUCCUUGCAGGCAUUCUUUUUUUUAAGAUUUUAUUUAUUUAUUUGAGAGGUAGCGUUGCAGAUAGUGAGAGGGAGAGACAGAGAGAAAGGUCUUCCAUCCGCUGGUUCACUCCCCAAAUGAUCGCAAUGGCUGGAGCUGGGCCAAUCUGAAGCCAGGAGCCAGGAGCUUCUUCUGGGUCUCCCAUGCAGGUGCAGAGGCCUGAGCACUUGGGCUGUCUUCUGCUUUCCCAGGCCAUAGCAGAGAGCUGGAUCGGAAGAGGAGCAGCCGGGACUAGAACCGGGGCCCAUAGGACAUGCUGGCGCUGCAGAUGGCGGGGUAACCUACUGUGCCACAGCCCCAGCCCUUGCAGACAUUCUUGAUACGUUAACACAUAGCAUGAGUCUCCGAUGGAGGUAUGGAUUACAUAGUAUUACCGAGAUUUAUUUGGAGACUUACAGAAUGUAUACUAAGAGUUUCCGUGCCUCAUAACAUUGCUGUCAUCAUUACCCAUCAUAAGGUACAUUAAGUACUUAGUCUGGUGUCUCUUGCAUAAUGUGGACUAACGUUUAUGGAGCACUUCCUGUGUGCCGUGUGUCUGUGUCAUCUCAUGGAAUCAUCGUAGGGAUCCUGAUGUUCAUCUCACAGAUGAGCCCACUGAGACUUAUGGAGGUUGGCCCACUGUCCAGCCAGGUGGCAGGAACGUGGCAACCCCGGACCCUGCCGAGUCUGCCGCACACGUCUGUAAAUGCCCAUUCUCCAGCCCUUCGUUUCUGCACUAGCCCUGGGCUGUUGUUGCUCUCAACAGAAGGUGUUAGGAGGCAGGCAUCAAGGUCAGAGGUCGCCUCCAGAAAGCCAUCUUCCCUUCAGCUUGUCCAGAGAUGUUGUUGGACAAUUCCAAGCUCCACAUCCAUUCAGUCAAGCUUCCCUUCAACAAAGACAUAGGAAGGCCUUACUGCCUACCAGGCAGUAUUUUGGGUAAUGAUGUUUUGGCAGUGAGUAAAGCAGACAACAGUCCCCUUUCUCAGAGAGCUCAUGCUCUUGUGUGAGAAGCCAAAGUCACUGAGGAAAACAAAAGGCAUGAUGAUGAGUGCUAGGCAGAAAAAUGAAGUAGGGGAAAGGAACAAGGAGGGCCUCUGUGGGGGGAAGGAGACAUUGGCAGGUGCAAUUCUGCAUAGGCACUGUAUAAGGAGACCUAGAUGUCAUGGGGCCAUUUGAGCAAAGACCUAGAGGGGACAUCACCUGGGGCAAAACCCUCCAGGCUAGAGGGUCAGUGAGUGCAAAGGUCCUAGUGUGUUCUACCAGGUUUCUCUCUUUCCCUCCCUUGGAUAUCAAGAUUACAUUUGGAGGUGUCUGGUAGGCCUAGAGUUAUUUCAGAAGAAUUUGCUAAGAUUCUAGGUGAUUAAUAAUUAGAGGUAAUUUAUGAGAGUAUUUGGCAAACUGUUAAACAAGCUGCAAAUAAGAGAGAUGAUUUUGGGGCUGGUCCUGUGGUGUAGUAGGCUAAGCCCCGCCUGCAGUGCUGGCAUUCAAUAUGGGUGCAAGUUCAUGUCACAGCUGCUCUGCUUCCAAUCCAGCUCUCUGCUAACAGCCUGGGAAAUCAGUGGAAGAUGGCCCAAGUGCUUGGGCCCCUGCACCCACAUGGGAGACCUGGAAGAACCUCCUGGCUUCUGGCUUCAGAUCUGCUCAGCUUCCAGCCGUGCAGCCAUUUGGGGAGUGAACCAGCAGAUGGAAGACCUUUCUCUCUCUCUCUGUA